rnacentral:rRNA from 1 species
AUUAGAUACCCUGGUAGUCCACGCAGUAAACGAUGAUAGCUCGUUGUCGGCGAUACAUUGUCGGUGACUAAGAGAAAUCGUUAAGCUAUCCACCUGGGGAGUACGUUCGCAAGAAUGAAACUCAAAGGAAUUGACGGGGGCCCGCACAAGCGGAGGAACAUGUGGUUUAAUUCAAUGAUACGCGAGGAACCUUACCCGGGCUUGAAAGUUACUGACUAAUCUGGAAACAGGUUAUCCCUUCGGGGCAGGAAACUAGGUGCUGCAUGGUUGUCGUCAGCUCGUGCCGUGAGGUGUCGGGUUAAGUCCCAUAACGAGCGCAACCCUUGCUGUUAGUUGCCAUCAGGUCAAGCUGGGCACUCUAACGGGACUGCCGGUGCAAGCUGGAGGAAGGUGGGGAUGACGUCAAAUCAGCACGGCCCUUACGUCCGGGGCGACACACGUGUUACAAUGGCGGGUACAGCGGGAGGCCAUGCGGCGACGCAGAGCGGAACCCGAAAACCCGUCUCAGUUCGGAUUGGAGUCUGCAACCCGACUCCAUGAAGCUGGAUUCGCUAGUAAUCGCGCAUCAGCCACGGCGCGGUGAAUACGUUCCCGGGCCUUGUACACACCGCCCGUCAAGCCAUGGGAGCCGGGAGUGCCUGAAGUGCGUGAGCGCGAGCAGCGCCCUAGGGUAAAACCGGUGACUGGGGCUAAGUCGUAACAAGGUAACAAGGC